rnacentral:rRNA from 1 species
GACGAACGCUGGCGGCGUGCUUAACACAUGCAAGUCGAGCGGUAAGGCCCCUUCGGGGGUACACGAGCGGCGAACGGGUGAGUAACACGUGAGCAAUCUGCCCAUCACAUCGGGAUAACUCCGGGAAACCGAAGCUAAUACCGAAUACGACCACUCCCGGCAUCGGGUGGUGGUGGAAAGUUCCGGCGGUGAUGGAUGAGCUCGCGGCCUAUCAGCUAGUUGGUGAGGUAAUGGCGCACCAAGGCGACGAUCGGUAGCUGGUCUGAGAGGAUGAUCAGCCACACUGGGACUGAGACACGGCCCAGACUCCUACGGGAGGCAGCAGUGGGGAAUCUUGCGCAAUGCGCGAAAGCGUGACGCAGCAACGCCGCGUGGGGGAAGACGGCCUUCGGGUUGUAAACCCCUUUCAGUUGGGACGAAGCUCCGGCGGUUAAUAGCCGCCUGGAGUGACGGUACCUUCACAAGAAGCCCCGGCUAACUACGUGCCAGCCGCCGCAGUAAGAC